AAUGAACGCUGGCGGCAGGCCUAAUACAUGCAAGUCGAGCGGAAGAAGUGUGCCAGCUCCUGCAUUCAGCGGCCGAUGAGUGGGUAAUGCCCAGGAAUCUGCCUGGCACUGGGGGAUCACGCCCGGAAACGGGCGCUAACACCGCAUACCACCUGCGGGAGAAACAGGAGCAUCUUCGGACCACACGCACUCAGUUGAGCCUAGGUCGCAUUAGCUAGUUGGUAGGGUAAAGGCCUACCAAGGCAAUGAUUCGUAUCUGGUCUGAGAGGAUGAUCAGUCACACUGGAACUGAGACACGGUCCAAACUCCUACGGGAGGCAGCAGUAGGGAAUAUUCGACAAUGGGCGAAAGCCUGAUGCAGCCAUGCCGCGUGUGUGAAGAAGGUCUUCGGAUUGUAAAACACUUUUGUUUGGGAAGAAGGUGAGUGAGUUUAUCCCUUGCUGUUUUGACGUUACCAACAGAGAAAGCACCGGCUAACUUCGUG
rnacentral:rRNA from 1 species